rfam:Tupaia chinensis contig188138, whole genome shotgun sequence.
GCUGGUCCGGGAUGAAGCCUAGUCUGAGUGGACAUCUGGAUGAGAGGAGCGGAUAUGGGGCUGAGACCAGCU